UUGGACGUGCUUGCACUGACUUGACGUUGGAUUACCAGUGAGCGGCGGACGGGUGAGUAACACGUGGGCAACCUGCCCCGAAGCGGGGGAUAACAUUUGGAAACAGAUGCUAAUACCGCAUAACAAUUUGAACCACAUGAUUCUCAUUUAAAAGAUGGUUUCGGCUAUCACUUUGGGAUGGGCCCGCGGUGCAUUAGCUAGUUGGUAAGGUAACGGCCUACCAAGGCUGUGAUGCAUAGCCGAGUUGAGAGACUGAUCGGCCACAAUGGAACUGAGACACGGUCCAUACUCCUACGGGAGGCAGCAGUAGGGAAUCUUCCACAAUGGGCGCAAGCCUGAUGGAGCAACACCGCGUGAGUGAAGAAGGGUUUCGGCUCGUAAAGCUCUGUUGUUAGAGAAGAACGUGCGUGAGAGUAACUGUUCACGCAGUGACGGUAUCUAACCAGAAAGUCACGGCUAACUACGUGCCAGCAGCCGCGGUAAUACGUAGGUGGCAAGCGUUAUCCGGAUUUAUUGGGCGUAAAGCGAGCGCAGGCGGUUGGAUAAGUCUGAUGUGAAAGCCUUUGGCUUAACCAAAGAAGUGCAUCGGAAACUGUCCGACUUGAGUGCAGAAGAGGACAGUGGAACUCCAUGGGUUAG
rnacentral:rRNA from 1 species